rnacentral:rRNA from 1 species
AUUGAACGCUGGCGGCAGGCCUAACACAUGCAAGUCGAACGAGUGGCGCACGGGUGAGUAAUGUCUGGGAAACCCCCCGAUGGAGGGGGAUAUCUACUGGAAACUGUAUCUUAUACCGUAUUCCAUCGUGUGCGCCCAGAUGGGAUUAGCUUGUAGGUGGGGUAAUGGCUCACCUAGGCGACGACCCCUAGCUGGUCUGAGAGGAUGACCAGCCACACUGGAACUGAGACACGGUCCAGACUCCUACGGGAGGCAGCAGUGGGGAAUAUUGCACAAUGGGCGCAAGCCUGAUGCAGCCAUGCCGCGUGUAUGAAGAAGGCCUUCGGGUUGUAAAGUACUUUCAGCGGGGAGGCGUUACUCGCAGAAGAAGCACCGGCUAACUCCGUGCCAGCAGCCGCGGUAAUUC